UCUUUUCAUUGUGUGCCAGCCGCCGCGGUAAUACGUAUGGAGCAAGCGUUAUCCGGAUUUACUGGGUGUAAAGGGAGUGUAGGUGGCCAGGCAAGUCAGAAGUGAAAGCCCGGGGCUCAACCCCGGGACUGCUUUUGAAACUGCAGGGCUAGAGUGCAGGAGGGGCAAGUGGAAUUCCUAGUGUAGCGGUGAAAUGCGUAGAUAUUAGGAGGAACACCAGUGGCGAAGGCGGCUUGCUGGACUGUAACUGACACUGAGGCUCGAAAGCGUGGGGAGCAAACAGG
rnacentral:rRNA from 1 species